rfam:Candidatus Sungbacteria bacterium RIFCSPLOWO2_01_FTLL_54_21 rifcsplowo2_01_scaffold_3843, whole genome shotgun sequence.
GGGCGUUUAGCUCAGUGGUAGAGCGUUGCAUUCACAUUGCAAAGGCCGUAGGUUCAAUCCCUACAACGCCCA